rnacentral:tRNA from 1 species
CGUCAGAUAGCUCAGUGGUCUAGAGCAGUCGCCCGGCAAGCGAAAGACCAGGGCUCGAUUCGAUUCCCGUUCUAGCGA